AACGAACGCUGGCGGCAGGCCUAACACAUGCAAGUCGAGCGCGCCUUCGGGUGAGCGGCGGACGGGUUAGUAACGCGUGGGAACGUACCCUUCUCUACGGAAUAGCCUUUGGAAACGAAGAGUAAUACCGUAUACGCCCUUUGGGGGAAAGAUUUAUCGGAGAAGGAUCGGCCCGCGUUAGAUUAGAUAGUUGGUGGGGUAACGGCCUACCAAGUCUACGAUCUAUAGCUGGUUUUAGAGGAUGAUCAGCAACACUGGGACUGAGACACGGCCCAGACUCCUACGGGAGGCAGCAGUGGGGAAUCUUAGACAAUGGGCGCAAGCCUGAUCUAGCCAUGCCGCGUGAGUGAUGAAGGCCUUAGGGUCGUAAAGCUCUUUCGCCUGUGAUGAUAAUGACAGUAGCAGGUAAAGAAACCCCGGCUAACUCCGUG
rnacentral:rRNA from 1 species